UGCUAUGGGAGUGACGGUAGCUUACCAGAAAGCCACGGCUAACUACGUGCCAGCAGCCGCGGUAAUACGUAGGUGGCAAGCGUUAUCCGGAAUCAUUGGGCGUAAAGGGUGCGUAGGUGGCGUACUAAGUCUGUAGUAAAAGGCAAUGGCUCAACCAUUGUAAGCUAUGGAAACUGGUAUGCUGGAGUGCAGAAGAGGGCGAUGGAAUUCCAUGUGUAGCGGUAAAAUGCGUAGAUAUAUGGAGGAACACCAGUGGCGAAGGCGGUCGCCUGGUCUGUAACUGACACUGAGGCACGAAAGCGUGGGGAGCAAAUAGGAUUAGAUACCCUAGUAGUCCACGCCGUAAACGAUGAGAACUAAGUGUUGGAGGAAUUCAGUGCUGCAGUUAACGCAAUAAGUUCUCCGCCUGGGGAGUAUGCACGCAAGUGUGAAACUCAAAGGAAUUGACGGGGGCCCGCACAAGCGGUGGAGUAUGUGGUUUAAUUCGAAGCAACGCGAAGAACCUUACCAGGCCUUGACAUGGAAACAAAUACCCUAGAGAUAGGGGGAUAAUUAUGGAUCACACAGGUGGUGCAUGGUUGUCGUCAGCUCGUGUCGUGAGAUGUUGGGUUAAGUCCCGCAACGAGCGCAACCCUUGUCGCAUGUUACCAGCAUCAAGUUGGGGACUCAUGCGAGACUGCCGGUGACAAACCGGAGGAAGGUGGGGAUGACGUCAAAUCAUCAUGCCCCUUAUGGCCUGGGCUACACACGUACUACAAUGGCGACCACAAAGAGCAGCGACACAGUGAUGUGAAGCGAAUCUCAUAAAGGUCGUCUCAGUUCGGAUUGAAGUCUGCAACUCGACUUCAUGAAGUCGGAAUCGCUAGUAAUCGCAGAUCAGCAUGCUGCGGUGAAUACGUUCUCGGGCCUUGUACACACCGCCCGUCAAACCAUGGGAGUCAGUAAUACCCGAAGCCGGUGGCAUAACCGUAAGGAGUGAGCCGUCGAAGGUAGGACCGAUGACUGGGGUUAAGUCGUAACAAGGUAUCCCUACGGGAACGUGGGGAUG
rnacentral:rRNA from 1 species